CACAAUUCUCUUUGCACAUUUCAUCGCAUGCAACAAAAACUAGAACUCGAAGAACUUAAAAUGUGGAGCUACCCUAUUUUUAUGGCGUGCGUAGCCUAGUCUAUUAAUAAAACGAGAUGAUAACCUUCCUAUGUUUACCGGGGUGGUGACUAAUCAUUCUUUCCUCUGUCUGUAAUUGUGUUCUAGCCAACAGCGAGACUCAUGGACACGCUGGGGGACACUCAUGGAUUCCUUCCCGUCCACUCCUUCCUUCCACAUGUGGAAGCUCAGGCAGAGAGAAGUCAAGUCGCUUGCCCAAGGUCUGUGAGUCUUAAUAUUUAAAUGCUGAAGAUAAACUCCAAGCCCUUCGAAGCACGGCCCUUUUGAUUUUGCGCCAACCGCCGGUGCACCCAGUGAAGAACUUGUCCUUCACUCGAUGAGUUAGAGCUUCACCGAGGGCACAGGUUGAAAAGUCCAGUUUAGUAAACACGGGCAUUAGCAGUAACCCAAUUCCGUGCGUGCUUCCUGGGUUCCAAGCACUAUGCUGAAUGCUUUACAGGGGCGAUUUAGCCUCUACUGUAAGCCUGCGGUACAGGUAAUAGCAUCAAUCUUAUUUCUGUUCUAAGGAAUAGGAGCUCCAGAGGACUGAGCCUCGUGCCCCUAGAUGCACAGCCAGCUGGCAAGCGGCUGAGUCUUAGCACUGGAAAGGACUCACAGCGCCAACUCACCCACAGGCAGAAUUUUAUUCCCAGAGAGUCAAGAAACUUGCCUGAGGGUUUGGAUUCAGCAGAUGGCUCUGAGGCUCAGGAACUGCUGUUUUUAAAAUGCCACUCUCGUGAUCAUCCAGAAUUGGGGAUCGCUGGUCCAGGUGAUCAUUUAAAGUCCUUUCCAACACAGGGGACCUAUAACGUUAGGAAAAGAGAAAAUUUAAGGUAGAAGUUUGACCCCAAAACACGUUAAAUGAUCAUCCUAUGUGUAUUUGGCCUACAGAAGGCAUCUCUCUGAUGAAAUAAAUUUGGAUAUGAUUUUAUGAAAAACA
rnacentral:lncRNA from 1 species